rnacentral:rRNA from 1 species
GAUGAACGCUGGCGGCGUGCCUAAUACAUGCGAGUCGAGCGAACAGACGAGGAGCUUGCUCCUCUGACGUUAGCGGCGGACGGGUGAGUAACACGUGGAUAACCUACCUAUAAGACUGGGAUAACUUCGGGAAACCGGAGCUAAUACCGGAUAAUAUAUUGAACCGCAUGGUUCAAUAGUGAAAGACGGUUUUGCUGUCACUUAUAGAUGGAUCCGCGCCGCAUUAGCUAGUUGGUAAGGUAACGGCUUACCAAGGCAACGAUGCGUAGCCGACCUGAGAGGGUGAUCGGCCACACUGGAACUGAGACACGGUCCAGACUCCUACGGGAGGCAGCAGUAGGGAAUCUUGCGCAAUGGGCGAAAGCCUGACGGAGCAACGCCGCGUGAGUGAUGAAGGUCUUCGGAUCGUAAAACUCUGUUAUUAGGGAAGAACAAAUGUGUAAGUAACUAUGCACGUCUUGACGGUACCUACUCAGAAAGCCACGGCUAACUACGUG